AAUAAAUUCCUUUGUGCUUAUUGACCCGAAAUUUUUUUUUUCCUACAGGUAGAGUGGGUUUAGGUUCCUCAUCUCCGGAAUCUCCCAGAACCCUGCCAGGCAGGACAGCACCAAGACCUGGGCCAAGCCCACUGCAUCUCUGGCUCUAGGAAGGAUGUCGCUUUACACAGAUACAAAGUCGUUUCCUUUUCUCCUCUGCCCUCUUCUUGUCUCAAAUUAUAUGGUGUCCCUCCUUCUCCCCUACCUCUUCUAAUGUUUUCUCUCUCCCCCUUGCAGAAGAGGAAUUCAGGUCUUCAGUACCCCAUCAGCUCAUUUUGUGAUGUGAAAGCACCAAGCAAUGAAGUCCAGGGACAUGGGCUGGUUCCCAGCCUGGCUGCUCAGGGCAGCUGAUCAUGAGCACAUGGUGGCUGCUUCUGUGGGUGUCCCUGCCUUGGCUCCCCGGGAGAGUUGGGGAGGAGAGGCUGAGGCCAGAGCAGUGAUGGGGAGACGCUGUGAACACAUGUGUGCCAGGUCAGCCACGGGAACCCUUUGUUCCCUCAAGAAUCUGAGGGCAUCAGGCACUGGCACAAAGAACUUAGCAAGAGGGAAACAAAGAGAUAAAGAUGAGCAGAUAGAAAUAAAGACCCUGUGGAAGACAGAGAGAGAGGUGUGUAUCCGAGGCUGAACAUCGAGGCAGCAGCAUGAUUGGAAACAAGACCAAUAGUCCCCAGGGUGGGAGUCAUAGAGAGCCGGGGACAGGAGGAGAAGAUACAGAGGUGGUGAGGGUCCCUGCACCCCGGGCCCUACUGCCUCGGGGCAAGCCAGAUGAAUGGCUGAGGCUGGACCUGGAGGCAUUCUAUUUUCAAUGCCAAUUCAGGAUGAAGCAAACAGAGAAAGGCUUUACCCACCAAACCCAGAGAGCCCACCUGCAGAGAAGGUGCCUCUGAGAGCUGGGGCAGCCUCCAGGCUUCUCAGGCAGGAGUGAGUAUGCCAGCUGAAAAUCCUGGAGCCCAGGAGAUAACACUAGGGAUUAUUUAGCAUGCAGACACACCUUCAGAAGAUUUCCUCUUUUUUCCUUCCUAGCUGCGGGGAGUAUCACUCAGGCUACAGGCACCUCUGGAUGAACACAGAAUCUCAGCAAAUGAAGAUCUGCCGGAGUGCCCCCUGUGCCAGCAUUGCAUGUGAAUGCGUGAAAAUCACCCAUCUUCUUGCUGGCCUCCCCAACAGUGUGACUUAAGUCCUGUGAUCUUCUAACCUUAACCCUAACUUCUCAUGACCUGAGCAGACUAUGCCAUAUCCCAGGAAGCUUUAUUUCCAAGCCCCUCUUCUCUGAGCCUCGGUUUCCUAAUCUGAAGUGUGAACAGGAACAAUCUCCAAAUGGAUAGUAUCAGCAGAGAUGAACUGAGCUGGCCCACGUGGUGUACUCAGCAUUGUCUUAGCGCCAUACAAACAGUUCAGCUCAUGGGUAUCAGUGAUGACUCUGGGUUCCCCGCUGUCAGAGGUGCCACAGUACUGCGGUGAAACGCCCAGCAUGGAGUCCAACAACAUCAACAUGGACUUGUUGAUUGUGACUUUGCAGGAUUCUUUCUCUUGGCCGAGGAAAAAGUACUUAAGUUUCAGCAUCAGAAAAAGGCGUACUUCCUCUAAACAAGAGUUUAUUUUCAUUCACGGACAGCAAAGCUCCUGCAGCAUUUCCCCCAUCGCUUGACUGUUGGGUAGUUUAGCAUCAAAAAUGCUGCUUCCUCUGCGUCCCAGGCAGACAGUUCCUGUGAGGUCCUCUAAUUUAUAUUUUCCCGUUCCGGACUCCCUUCCACCCUCCCCUGGUUUUCCCUAUUAUUCAGGACCAAACCUGCCUGUAUGAGGUUCACAGAAUUAUUUCCUGACACUCAGCAACCUGGGAAAUGGCCUCUCUCUCUGCACCAUUGUCUCCAGGCUGGAGCUGAACACUGUGGCGGUCAGCAACCUUUACAGCGAGGAUUGCUUAGGUUGUAUUUUCUACGUUCAUUUAAAAUCCCGCCUCGUUUAUUUUCUUUGGGUCCCAUGUGAGGCUGCGCUGACUUUCACAACUCUUUGUGGGACUCACUACCUAACGGUGAAGGGAAAUUAAAGUCCAUCGGUGGACCAGGCAUGCGUUUGUGAAAACACAGUUUUCAAGAGAAACUCCGGACACUUCUCAUAGCCCUUUCUUAAAGUGUCACCCGUCCCUCUCUGUCUUCCCUCUUCUUCCCUCUCCACACCCUUUCUUUCCUCCCUCCCUCCUUCCUGCCAGCCUCCUUUUCUCUCUUGCACCUUUCCCUUCCUUCAUCCAUGUGUGUCACUUGAGCAAUGUACUUGUUUGAUCGAGUGGCUUUAUGAUUCAAACCUCAUAAUUUUUACCCACAGAAAGGAGAUUUAAAAAUCUCACAGAAUGAUUGCGGAUUAAAUUGAAUUAUUCACUCUAAGCAUUUAGCAUUUUUCCUAACCUCCUAUCGGAAGUGGGAAAAAGCUAUCAUUGUUCAUUCAACAAGCAUUUAUGACGUAGCACAUGCUAAAUGCUGCACACCCCCAAGCAUCUCUCCAGUAACAAAUUGUUUUUCUGGGGGCACACAAACCACAUACUGCUUUGGGGCCAGAGAAGUACUCAUAUUGUACUAAUGAUAAGUAGUUGUUAAAAUUCUGGGAAAAGCUGGGGUCUUGCCACACUUUAUCUUCUGGAAGCUGUCAGGAGUGUUCCUUAGUUUUUACUUUUUUUCCUCCCCCCAUUUGGUGGUUCUCCCCUUCUUUUGCUUCCAAGACCCUCCUGAGGCAUCUGCAGGGCCGUCUAACAAGGUGGUUCCUAGGACCAAAUGCCCUGUCCAUUACUAACUGCUGACUCUGAUUGACCGCUGCUACCUCUAUGCAAAUCAGUCUAAAAGCAAUGGAUUUAUAUUUGCUGUUAUAUUGCCCACUUGCUCCCUGACAGUGGUGAUGGCUCUCGUUUCUCCUGUGUGUCCGUGAACCUGCUGUCCCUCUGGCUGUCCCCAGCUCCAAUCAUUCUCCGUUCAGUGAUGCCAUAAGUGAUUAAUCUGUGGCUAGUUUCCUCCUGCCUUCCCCGGAGCCAGCACAGAGCCCAUUCAUCAAGAUGAGCAGAUUUCUAUAGUUAGAGACAUUGUAUCUUCAGAUCUUCACUGUCUCAAGUACAAAGUGACAAGAUAUCAGCUAGCUUCAAGACUGUCAAGUUUGUAAAUCAAUAAACAUCACCUGUUGUUUGGGGUUAUUCUGCCAGACAGGGAUUGUGCUCAAGAGGAAGUAAUCUUUUCCAAUCAAUCACUACCAACAAUCACAAUGAAACAGAAAGGUAUAAUCACUGUAACAACGAUAACAAAACACUUCUGUGUGUGGUUUUGCCAAUAUACAUACAAUAAAGGAUCCAAAACUUGGUACUAGAGGAGGUUUAUGAUCUCAGAGAUAAUUCACUGUGGAGACCCAGAGGACCUGAGGUAGUCUUUUGCCAGUGGAGUGCCUACAGUGGCUGCUUCACUCGGUACUCAAAUUUUCCAAAAUAUGGCCCCAGUUUUAUCUUCUGUCACGGGUUGCCUCAGACCUUUAACGGUUCUAAGCAAUGACAGGACUAUGGUGCUCACAUCCGUCCUCCACAGAAGCAAAUAUGUAACACUGUUAAAAAUUACAAGAUAAGGAAGAAUGCCUCUGUUCUGAUUUUUCUCACAAUGUCUUCUUGUGUUCUUU